GCCGGUGUGACGGAAUAGGUAGACGUACCACCUCAGUGGUCCCCGAAAGGGGUGCGGGUUCGAUCCCCAGCCACCGGCA
rnacentral:tRNA from 2 species